GACGAACGCUGGCGGCGUGCUUAACACAUGCAAGUCGAACGGUGAACUCCGCUUUCGGGGCGAACAGUUGCGAACGGGUGAGGAACACGUCGUCAACCUGCCCACAGCUCUGGGAUAACGCCAAUAAUAUGGGGCUAUUACCGCGGAUGACCGCUGACUCCAUUGUCUGGGGGCGGGAAGUUUUAUCGGUUGGGGGUGGGGUCGCGGCCUAUCAGAUUGUCGGUGGGGUAGUGGCCUACCAGGCCGAUGAGCGGUAGCAGGGCUGAGAGGGUGACCGGCCCAGCUGCGCUUGAGACACGGCCCAGACUAGUACGCUACGCAGCAGUGGGGAGUAUUGCGUAAUGGGAGGGGGCAUGACGUAGCGACGCAGCGUGGGGGAUGAGAGCAUGCGGGUUGUAAACCUCUUCCCGCAGGGACGAAGUGAAAGUGACGGUACCUGCAGAAGAAGCACCGGCCAACUACGUG
rnacentral:rRNA from 1 species